GGUAAGGGUGAAACGGUGCGGUAAGAGCGCACCAGUUUCCCGGGUGACCGGGAAAGCUAGGUAAACCCCGUCCGGUGCAAGACCAAAUAGGGAAACGAUUGAGGGUGGUCCGUCCGAUGUUUCCGGGUAGGUCGCUUGAGGUACAUGGCAACAUGUAUCCCAGAUGAAUGGUCGUUGACCCGCAGCCGGGUAACCGGCCCGGGUAACAGAAUUCGGCUUACUGGCUGGUCAGGCCU
rnacentral:RNase_P_RNA from 1 species